rnacentral:rRNA from 1 species
GACGAACGCUGGCGGCGUGCCUAAUACAUGCAAGUCGAGCGCAGGAAAUCGACGGAACCCUUCGGGGGGAAGUCGACGGAAUGAGCGGCGGACGGGUGAGUAACACGUAAAGAACCUGCCCUCAGGUCUGGGAUAACCACGAGAAAUCGGGGCUAAUACCGGAUGGGUCAUCGGACCGCAUGGUCCGAGGAUGAAAGGCGCUCCGGCGUCGCCUGGGGAUGGCUUUGCGGUGCAUUAGCUAGUUGGUGGGGUAAUGGCCCACCAAGGCGACGAUGCAUAGCCGACCUGAGAGGGUGAUCGGCCACACUGGGACUGAGACACGGCCCAGACUCCUACGGGAGGCAGCAGUAGGGAAUCUUCCACAAUGGACGAAAGUCUGAUGGAGCAACGCCGCGUGAACGAUGAAGGCCUUCGGGUCGUAAAGUUCUGUUGUAAGGGAAGAACAAGUGCCGCAGGCAGUGGCGGCACCUUGACGGUACCUUGCGAGAAAGCCACGGCCAACUACGUGCCAGCCGCCGCAGUAAGAC